CAGUCGAGCGAACGGAUAAGGAGCUUGCUCCUUUGAAGUUAGCGGCGGACGGGUGAGUAACACGUGGGUAACCUACCUAUAAGACUGGAAUAACUUCGGGAAACCGGAGCUAAUGCCGGAUAACAUAUAGAACCGCAUGGUUCUAUAGUGAAAGAUGGUUUUGCUAUCACUUAUAGAUGGACCCGCGCCGUAUUAGCUAGUUGGUAAGGUAAUGGCUUACCAAGGCGACGAUACGUAGCCGACCUGAGAGGGUGAUCGGCCACACUGGAACUGAGACACGGUCCAGACUCCUACGGGAGGCAGCAGUAGGGAAUCUUCCGCAAUGGGCGAAAGCCUGACGGAGCAACGCCGCGUGAGUGAUGAAGGUUUUCGGAUCGUAAAACUCUGUUAUUAGGGAAGAACAAAUGCGUAAGUAACUGUGCGCAUCUUGACGGUACCUAAUCAGAAAGCCACGGCUAACUACGUGCCAGCAGCCGCGGUAAUACGUAGGUGGCAAGCGUUAUCCGGAAUUAUUGGGCGUAAAGCGCGCGUAGGCGGUUUCUUAAGUCUGAUGUGAAAGCCCACGGCUCAACCGUGGAGGGUCAUUGGAAACUGGGAAACUUGAGUGCAGAAGAGGAAAGUGGAAUUCCAUGUGUAGCGGUGAAAUGCGCAGAGAUAUGGAGGAACACCAGUGGCGAAGGCGACUUUCUGGUCUGUAACUGACGCUGAUGUGCGAAAGCGUGGGGAUCAAACAGGAUUAGAUACCCUGGUAGUCCACGCCGUAAAACGAUGAGUGCUAAGUGUUAGGGGGUUUCCGCCCC
rnacentral:rRNA from 1 species